rnacentral:rRNA from 1 species
UACGAAGGGGGCUAGCGUUGUUCGGAAUUACUGGGCGUAAAGCGUGCGCAGGCGGCUUCUCAAGUCAGGGGUGAAAGCCCAGAGCUCAACUCUGGAAUUGCCUUUGAGACUGAGUGGCUUGAGUACGAGAGAGGUGAGUGGAAUUCCCAGUGUAGAGGUGAAAUUCGUAGAUAUUGGGAAGAACACCGGUGGCGAAGGCGGCCAUCUGGACCGGCACUGACGCUGAGGCGCGAAAGCGUGGGGAGCAAACAGG